rnacentral:sRNA from 1 species
GAGCAAACCAUAGGAGCGAUUAACAUUGUUGUCGACUGCCUGACGAGCCGCGGCGCGGCACAGUGCACAGUGCACAGUGCAACGUGCAGCGUGGGCGAGCGAGGGCCUGGCGGGGGCGAGUGCACUUGCCACCGUCAGGCCAGCGUCAGCCCACGGAAAGCGCAACAAAAUGGCGGCACAGCCGUCAGAGCGUGGCACCAACACCGCGGCCCCAGUCAGCUCGAGUCGCAGCACCAACCUCAACACCAGCCUAAAGCCAACCAACACCCCACGCCGCCUGGUAGCGUCCGUCCGUCCGUCGCGUCGGCAGGGCAAUGGAGAGGCGAUGCCAUCAAGCGUGUUGGGUCGGUGGGCAACGGUAGCUGCAACAGCAGGCACAGGGACAGGGACAGGCACAGGGACAGGGACAACGAAGCGGUUGGCCUCCCAGUACACUGCGCGACAUUUCGAAGCAUAGUAUCGUAUUUAUGUGCACAUGAGUAGAAGAAGGUCGACCUUUUAAAGAAGGCCAAGAUGUGCCCGAGGCUGAGACCAUGCUUUGUGGAGGCAAUAGGAUGAGAGCUUUGCUGACGAAAUAUAUCCCUGAGGACUGUGCAAUAUAUCUCAAAGAACAUGACACCCUAAUCUACCUAUCUUCUAGUUCUCUUAUCGGCCUUGUUGAAAAACUUUCGAGUAAUUGAUACAAAAUUUGGUAAUAGGUAUGGCUUUUUACUUUUACUUUAACGAAUGCAGAAAUAAAGCUACUUUAUAAAAUUAUGAUGACUUCAAAAUUAAUGAAAAUCAUCACAGCCAAGUGUCCUUAUUAUGUAAUAUGUCUCCCACUUUUUGAGUCUUCCAGCUUUAGGUUUUACCUGCCUUACCGCAACGUACAUACAUGGGAUCAUGCUCCGGUUAUCACAAAUCAUAAAAAGCUUCGAAUUAACUCUCAAAUCGCAAAAGUGCGUGCUCCGGUUUUGCGAAUCGUAAAAUUCGUACGAUUUAGGACCGGUUGCUAAUUAGCACGUAGCACACAUUUGUGUAUGCAGCCCUUAGAAUUCUUGAUGAGUGGAGCCACCUAAUGGAGCGACGCGCAGUGUACUUCUCGACCCCCUCUGUGGCUUGUAGCCUGGUAAUUGCGAUUGUUUUUGCUCGAGUGGCGGGGCAUUUGCCUGCAGAAACGCGACCGUUGCAGCCACCCGCGUCCACUCCCCAAUCCCCAAUCGCACUCCUACCCCCCCAUUGAUAUCGCCCAUUGUACCGGCGGUACGGCUGUUAUUAUGCAAAUGCCAUUCACAGGUAAUUACCACGCUGCACCGUUAUAAUUGCACUCGAAGCCCAGCUAGGAGUCGCGGCCGCAGUUCGCGGCUGUGGCAGCGACGGCGGCUGGCUCCCAUCUCGGCUUUUUGCGCGGCCAAAAACGGCCACGGAGCUGGAAAAUCGAAACUGGCAACAAGAUGUGGCUGCCAUUAAUUACCGUAGCGGCAACACUGAGCUUCUCCAGCCCGCUGCUCGUUCCUAUGGAUCGUAUGAUAUGUGCCCGGGAUAGGAAAGAAGACUAUAUCUGUUACAUAGAUGUUUAAUCCAUUCAAGUAUUUCCCAUCAGGACGAUUUGUGACUUCUUAUACAUAUGUCCCAAAGAAACCCGAAUCUGGCGUGCCUACAAAUGCCUGUCGCAUUGUAGCGCCGAUCCCGAGAUCUUUAUCUGGACCUUGACCUGUGGCUGUGGUGGAAGCCCUUAUCCGACAUUGGCGGCGACAAUGCGACAUUUGUGAGCAGCAGAAGCGGAGCAUCUCCGCUGAUGCUGAUGCUGAUGCCGAUGCUGACACCUUUGCUGCUCUCGGGAAGAGGAGUCAUGAGAACGCAGACACAGACGCGGGCAAAUUAGAAUAACUUAAAUACACGGCGGCACGCAUUAAGCGGCACCGGGUUCCGGGGCAGAGAUAUUAUCAUCUGAAUCGGCAUCGCCAGCGAGCCGCUGCGAAUCCUUUUUCACUCUUCUCUCGCCCGCUAUCAAAAAGUAAUAAAUCUGCCGCUGAUCCAU